rnacentral:rRNA from 1 species
CACGUAGGGUGCGAGCGUUGUCCGGAAUUAUUGGGCGUAAAGAGCUCGUAGGCGGUGUGUCGCGUCGGCCGUGAAAACCUGCAGCUUAACUGUGGGCUUGCGGUCGAUACGGGCAUCACUGGAGUUCGGCAGGGGAGACUGGAAUUCCUGGUGUAGCGGUGAAAUGCGCAGAUAUCGGGAGGAACACCAGUGGCGAAGGCGGGCAUCGUGGGCCACUACUGACGCUGAGAAGCGAAAGCAUGGGGAGCGAACAGG